CGACCCAUAGCUCAGUUGGAAUAGCAUGGGACUGGAGAAUUGUGGUUAUAUCGGGGUCACUGGUUUGAAUCCGGUUGGUCGA
rnacentral:tRNA from 1 species